CUACUACCGAUUGAAUGUUUUAGUGAGGUCUUCGGACCGGCCGGCGCAGUCAUUCUCGUAGUGACAGCGCUGUGUUUGGAAAGAUGCCCAAACUUGAACAUUUAGAGGAAGUAAAAGUCGUAACAAGGUU
rnacentral:rRNA from 1 species